GUGCUUGCUUCAGCAGCACAUAUACUAAAAAAUAGAACAAUACAGAGAUUAGCAUGGCCCCUGUGUGAGGAUGACAUACAAAUUCAUGAAGCUUUUUUUUUUUUU
ensembl:snRNA U6 U6 spliceosomal RNA